rnacentral:rRNA from 1 species
CUACGGAGGGUGCAAGCGUUACUCGGAAUCACUGGGCGUAAAGCGCACGCAGGCGGCUAUUUAAGUUGGAUGUGAAAGCCUACGGCUCAACCGUAGAACUGCAUCCAAAACUAUUUAGCUAGAGUGUGGGAGAGGAAGAUGGAAUUAGUUGUGUAGGGGUAAAAUCCGUAGAGAUAACUAGGAAUACCAAAAGCGAAGGCAAUCUUCUGGAACACUACUGACGCUGAGGCGCGAAAGCGUGGGGAGCAAACAGGAUUAGAUACCCUAGUAGUCC